GACGAACGCUGGCGGCGUGCUUAACACAUGCAAGUCGUACGGUAAGGCCCUUUCGGGGGUCCACGAGUGGCGCACGGGUGAGUAACACGUGAGUAACCUGCCCACAACUUUGGGAUGACGCUAGGAAACUGGUGCUAAUACUGGAUAUGUGCCCCUGCUGCAUGGUGGGGGUUGGAAAGCUCCGGCGGUUGUGGAUGGACUCGCGGCCUAUCAGCUUGUUGGUGGGGUAGUGGCCUACCAAGGCGGCGACGGGUAGCCGGCCUGAGAGGGUGACCGGCCACAUUGGGACUGAGAUACGGCCCAGACUCCUACGGGAGGCAGCAGUGGGGAAUAUUGCACAAUGGGCGCAAGCCGGAUGCAGCAACGCCGCGUGCGGGAUGACGGCCUUCGGGUUGUAAACCGCUUUCAGCAGGGACGAAGCUUUUUGUGACGGUACCUGCAGAAGAAGCACCGGCUAACUACGUG
rnacentral:rRNA from 1 species